GGGGAAGAGUUUGAUCCUGGCUCAGAUUGAACGCUGGCGGCAUGCCUUACACAUGCAAGUCGAACGGUAACAGGGAGCAAGCUCCGCUGACGAGUGGCGAACGGGUGAGUAAUGUAUCGGAACGUACCAUUCAGUGGGGGAUAACGUAGCGAAAGUUACGCUAAUACCGCAUAUUCUGUGAGCAGGAAAGCAGGGGAUCGCAAGACCUUGCGCUGAUUGGGCGGCCGAUAUCAGAUUAGCUAGUUGGUGGGGUAAAGGCUCACCAAGGCGACGAUCUGUAGCGGGUCUGAGAGGAUGAUCCGCCACACUGGAACUGAGACACGGUCCAGACUCCUACGGGAGGCAGCAGUGGGGAAUUUUGGACAAUGGGGGCAACCCUGAUCCAGCCAUGCCGCGUGAGUGAAGAAGGCCUUCGGGUUGUAAAGCUCUUUCGGCCGGGAAGAAAUCGCACGGAGUAAUACCCUGUGUGGAUGACGGUACCGGCAUAAGAAGCACCGGCUAACUACGUGCCAGCAGCCGCGGUAA
rnacentral:rRNA from 1 species